rnacentral:rRNA from 1 species
UACGUAGGGUGCAGGCGUUAAUCGGAAUUACUGGGCGUAAAGCGUGCGCAGGCGGUUUGCUAAGACAGGUGUGAAAUCCCCAGGCUUAACCUGGGAACUGCGCUUGUAACUGGCAAGCUUGAGUGUGGCAGAGGGGGGUGGAAUUCCGCGUGUAGCAGUGAAAUGCGUAGAGAUGCGGAGGAACACCGAUGGCGAAGGCAGCCCCCUGGGCUAACACUGACGCUCAGGCACGAAAGCGUGGGGAGCAAACAGG